rnacentral:rRNA from 1 species
CCUACGGGUGGCUGCAGUAGGGAAUAUUGGGCAAUGGGCGCAAGCCUGACCCAGCCACCCCGCGUGAAGGAAGAAGGUUCAUAGAAUUGUAAACUUCUUUUGUCUAGGGAUAAAAGCCGUGUAACUCACGGAAUUGAAGGUACUAGGCGAAUAAGCGCCGGCUAACUACGUGCCAGCAGCCGCGGUAAUACGUAGGGCGCAAGCGUUGUCCGGAUUUACUGGGUUUAAAGGGUGCGUAGGCGGCUUAAUAAGUCUGUGAUGAAAUGUCAGGGCUC